UACGAGGGGUGCAAGCGUUGUUCGGAAUUACUGGGCGUAAAGCGUGAGGAGGCGGCUUGUUAAGUCUGAUGUGAAAGCCCUGGGCUUAACCCAGGAACUGCAUCGGAAACUAGCAGGCUAGAGUUCGGGAGAGGGCCGUGGAAUUCUUGGUGUAGAGGUGAAAUUCGUAGAUAUCAAGAGGAACACCGGUGGCGAAGGCGGCGACCUGGACCGACACUGACGCUAAUACACGAAAGCGUGGGGAGCAAACAGG
rnacentral:rRNA from 1 species